rnacentral:sRNA from 1 species
GGGUCCUCCGUUCCUCAAUAGCUUGCAGUGCAGAGCAGCCUGCAGAGCCAUUAUAGCUUUGUGGGACAUUCGUUCCUACCAAAAAGGCAAUUUGCCGUUCAAUUUGGCGCGACGCGUCGAGUCUCUGCUUCGUCGUCUGCGUUAUUGUGAGGUUGGUCUUGGUCAAGACGGCGGAUUGCCAGAAAAAAAAAGCCUCCAACAGUUGCUCAACGGUUCUCUCUAACUUCUUAAGCUGCGCCAAGUGAGAUAACGUAAUGCUUCGGGAAAGAAUGAAGAUGAGAGUAUUGAAACACGCACGUCCGCCUCUGCACCACCAAGGCUUUCGUUCUCCUGCCUGAAGGGUUGAUAAUACAAUCGAAAGCGCCGUCUCCCCCCUCCUUUGCCGUCCAGCCUAUUGACAGGCGAUUGAAUUCCGUUGAUAUAGGAUAAUAUGCCAGAUGUAUAUAGGAGUAUGUGGUAAUAAGAAUCGUGAAUUAGAUAUAUGCAAUACAGAU